GACGAACGCUGGCGGCGUGCUUAACACAUGCAAGUCGAACGAUGAACGCUGGAGCUUGCUCCGGCUGGAUUAGUGGCGAACGGGUGAGUAACACGUGAGCAAUCUGCCCUUGACUCUGGGAUAACUCCGAGAAAUCGGUGCUAAUACCGGAUAUGACCCUUGGCGGCAUCGCUGGGGGUGGAAGGUUCUUCGGUCAAGGAUGAGCUCGCGGCCUAUCAGCGUGUUGGUGAGGUAAUGGCUGACCAAGGCGACGACGGGUAGCCGGCCUGAGAGGGUGACCGGCCACACUGGGACUGAGACACGGCCCAGACUCCUACGGGAGGCAGCAGUGGGGAAUAUUGCACAAUGGGCGCAAGCCUGAUGCAGCAACGCCGCGUGGGGGAUGACGGCCUUCGGGUUGUAAACCUCUUUUAGCAGGGAAGAAGCGAAAGUGACGGUACCUGCAGAAAAAGCACCGGCUAACUACGUGCCAGCCGCCGCAGUAA
rnacentral:rRNA from 1 species